rnacentral:rRNA from 1 species
CCUACGGGCGGCAGCAGUGGGGAAUAUUGCACAAUGGGGGAAACCCUGAUGCAGCGACGCCGCGUGAGUGAAGAAGUAUUUCGGUACGUAAAGCUCUAUCAGCAGGGAAGAAAAUGAUGGUACCUGACUAAGAAGCCCCGGCUAACUACGUGCCAGCAGCCGCGGUAAUACGUAGGGGGCAAGCGUUAUCCGGAUUUACUGGGUGUAAAGGGAGCGUAGACGGCAGCGCAAGUCUGGAGUGAAAUCCCAUGGCUUAACCAUGGAACUGCUUUGGAAACUGUGCAGCUAGAGUGCAGGAGAGGUAAGCGGAAUUCCUAGUGUAGCGGUGAAAUGCGUAGAUAUUAGGAGGAACACCAGUGGCGAAGGCGGCUUACUGGACUGUAACUGACGUUGAGGCUCGAAAGCGUGGGGAGCAAACAGGAUUAGAUACCCUAGUAGUC